rnacentral:rRNA from 1 species
GGCUAACCUACCCUCGAGACGGGGACAACCCCGGGAAACUGGGGCUAAUCCCAGAUAGAUGAGAACUCCUGGAAUGGGUUCUCGUCCAAAGGGCACUGUGGUUAUGCUCUGCGGUGUCGCUCAAGGAUGGGGCCGCGUCCGAUCAGGCUGUUGGUGAGGCAACGGCUCACCAAACCUAUAACCGGUACGGGCCGUGGGAGCGGGAGCCCGGAGAUGGGAACUGAGACAAGGUCCCAGGCCCUACGGGGCGCAGCAGUUACGAAAACUUGUCAAUGCACGAAAGUGUGAACGGGCUACCCCGAGUGCCGUCCGCUGAGGAUGGCUUUUCUCUGCUGUGAGAAGGCGGAGGAAUAAGGAGAGGGCAAGUCUGGUGUCAGCCGCCGCGGUAAUACCAGCUCUCCGAGUGGUAGGGAUGAUUAUUGGGCUUAAAGCGUCCGUAGCUGGCCUUUCAAGUCUCUUGUUAAAUCCAGCGAUUCAAUCGUUGGACUGCAGGAGAUACUGUGAGGCUAGGGGGCGGGAGAAGCCGACGGUAUUUUCGGGGUAGGGGUAAAAUCCUAUAAUCCCGGGAAGACCACCAGUGGCGAAGGCGGUCGGCUAGCACGCGCUCGACGGUGAGGGACGAAAGCUGGGGGAGCGAACCGGAUUAGAUACCCGGGUAGUCCCAGCUGUAAACGAUGCGGGCUAGGUGUUGAAGCGGCCACGAGCCGCUUCAGUGCCGCAGGGAAGCCAUUAAGCCCGCCGCCUGGGGAGUACGGCCGCAAGGCUGAAACU